AGAAGAUAGAUGGAGACAGAUCUCGCAGAUCUGUCCUGCUGCAGCCUUUUUGUAGAUCUAUUGAUGGAGAUCUCACCCCCAUCUCAAACGACCUCAGAUCAACUCCAGAUCUGAGAGGGACUUGUACCAACCUCUUCUCAAGAGAUUCCAGGUCCUGGACCUAGUGUUUGGGUAUCUGCAAGAGAGGGGAGAGAAGAAAUGGCUAGCGAUUGCAAAAGGGGGAAGGGGCUAGCGCCUCCCUUCCUUUCUUUCCUUUUAUGGAUUGGCGGCAAGAAACCCUAGGGUUUCUUGCUCCUGGUGCAUGGAAGAUUGCUGGAG
rnacentral:lncRNA from 1 species